AACGAACGCUGGCGGCAUGCCUAACACAUGCAAGUCGAACGAGACCUUCGGGUCUAGUGGCGCACGGGUGCGUAACGCGUGGGAACCUGCCCUUAGGUUCGGAAUAACUCCCCGAAAGGGGUGCUAAUACCGGAUAAUGUCUUCGGACCAAAGAUUUAUCGCCUUUGGAUGGGCCCGCGUUGGAUUAGCUAGUUGGUAGGGUAAAAGCCUACCAAGGCGACGAUCCAUAGCUGGUCUGAGAGGAUGAUCAGCCACACUGGGACUGAGACACGGCCCAGACUCCUACGGGAGGCAGCAGUGGGGAAUAUUGGACAAUCGGCGAAAGCCUGAUCCAGCACUGCCGCGUGAGUGAUGAAGGCCUUAGGGUUGUAAAGCUCUUUUACCCGGGAUGAUAAUGACAGUACCGGGAGAAUAAGCUCCGGCUAACUCCGUG
rnacentral:rRNA from 1 species